UAUUAUAUUAUUAUUAUAUUGCGUCGUUAUUAUAUUAUUCUGUUAUUUCAUAUGUCCGAUUUACCUACAUGAGUGGGAAUCGAUUUGGAGGAAAAAAAAUUAAAUACACGUACUCCAUGGACAUGAAAGAAAACUGGCUGAAAGUAAUGCAUAGAUGGUACCUAACCCCCCAAAAGAUAGGAUUUAUGUAUAAAAAUACUAAUAAUAAAUGCUGGAAAUGUAAAUCUCAAGUGGGCUCGUACCACCCUAUGUGGUGGAGUUGUAGAAAGAUGGCAAAAUUUUGGACGAUGAUGUUAGACGAAAGUAAUAAAAUUCUAAACACAAACUUUGCGAAGACGCCUGAGCUCCUCCUGCUAGGGUUAUAUGAUGAAUUAGAUAAGGUAGAUUUAAAUACAGAUAAACUAUUUACAUUUUUUUAUUACUGCAGCAAGGAUGGUAAUCGCAAAACAAUGGAAAAGUGAGAAAGCCCCAUCGAAAGAUGCCUGGCUGACCAAAUGGACUGAAAUAAAGGAUAUGGACAAACUUACCUUCUGAAUGAGAAAGAGCAACGGAAGAGCUAUAAGAGCCACGGACUGGUCAAACUUUGAAGACUACCUUGUUACUUCAGAGAAGGGAACCAGCAAGCAAGGAUGGUAAUCGCAAAACAAUGGAAAAGUGAGAAAGCCCCAUCGAAAGAUGCCUGGCUGACCAAAUGGACUGAAAUAAAGGAUAUGGACAAACUUACCUUCUGAAUGAGAAAGAGCAACGGAAGAGCUAUAAGAGCCACGGACUGGUCAAACUUUGAAGACUACCUUGUUACUUCAGAGAAGGGAACCAGCAAGCAAGGAUGGUAAUCGCAAAACAAUGGAAAAGUGAGAAAGCCCCAUCGAAAGAUGCCUGGCUGACCAAAUGGACUGAAAUAAAGGAUAUGGACAAACUUACCUUCUGAAUGAGAAAGAGCAACGGAAGAGCUAUAAGAGCCACGGACUGGUCAAACUUUGAAGACUACCUUGUUACUUCAGAGAAGGGAACCAGCAAGCAAGGAUGGUAAUCGCAAAACAAUGGAAAAGUGAGAAAGCCCCAUCGAAAGAUGCCUGGCUGACCAAAUGGACUGAAAUAAAGGAUAUGGACAAACUUACCUUCUGAAUGAGAAAGAGCAACGGAAGAGCUAUAAGAGCCACGGACUGGUCAAACUUUGAAGACUACCUUGUUACUUCAGAGAAGGGAACCAGCAAGCAAGGAUGGUAAUCGCAAAACAAUGGAAAAGUGAGAAAGCCCCAUCGAAAGAUGCCUGGCUGACCAAAUGGACUGAAAUAAAGGAUAUGGACAAACUUACCUUCUGAAUGAGAAAGAGCAACGGAAGAGCUAUAAGAGCCACGGACUGGUCAAACUUUGAAGACUACCUUGUUACUUCAGAGAAGGGAACCAGCAAGGUUGUAUUCAGAUUUUCUGGGAAGUUGUAGUUUAGGUAAACAUAAUGAAGAUUUUACUGAUUGCAGUACAGUCUCCUUAUCUAUAGAUUUGAUAUGCAUGGUUUUACUUACUGUAGUAAACUCUCCCCUCCAAAGUGUUUGUAGGCCUCUCUAUGUUCUUCGCUGCAAUUCUGUGAUAUGUUUCUGGCCCAAAUAUCCGCGAAAUAUAAGGUUUACUUGCAUCCAUGGGGAUCUUAGAAUGGGAGGUAUAUGUAAUAGUUUAACCCUUAAGCUCUUCCUCAUUAAAAAAAUUGCAGGAAAGUCUAGUUAUUUUUCCCCCUCCACAAAUGUCUUGCAGGCAUUACAUUUUUUGUUCUUUUUAAAAUGUAAUACAAUGGUAUAAUUAUCCCCCCCCCUCCCAAGCACAUCUUCUCUGUUGGUUUCUUCUUUUCUGGGUAGGAGAUAUUACUUUUUGGAGCCAACCCGGGAUUUUAUCAGUAUAUUUAUUGUAUGUGACCUCAUUUGUUUUAUGAUUUGUUUUAUUGUUGAUUGACUUGUUUUAUUGAUAUGUUUUUAUAUUGUCUGAUAUCUGGGCUUGGCCCCAUGUAAGCCGCCCUGAGUCCCUUCGGGGAGAUGGGGCGGGGUAUAAAACUAAAAUUAUUAUUAUUAUUAUUAUUAUUAUUAUUAUUAUUAUUAUUAUUAUUACCUUAAGAAAAGAUGAUAAGAACUAUCUAAUUGGAACAUAAAUGAUUAGUGACAAAGAUCGGAAGUCAAUCCCCCCCCCCAUUGCUAGUGUCUAUCCCCUCUCACAAUCCCUAAUCCAGACACACUUGCCCUGCCCCUGCCCUCCCUUCCCUGUUCCCCUGCCGUAUGUCGUCUUAUGUUUUAUGUUUGAUGUUUUAAAAGAAACUUCUCAAUAAAAAUGAUACAAAAAAUAAAAUAAAAAAAUAAACUUAACCAAACCUGGCUGUUUAAACAAAAUCAAAUAAACAUGUCAUCCAUAAAUCAAAAUAAAAACACACACUUCUUUACACCAACUUUGGUUGCAAAUGUAUGCAAUUUCCUUGAGAAACCUCUUCCUUCCUUCCCAGGCACCAUUUCUUAAACCCAGAAAGGGAAAACACACGUAGGAGCCGCCUGAAUUCUCACUUCUCUGUCCUUACGGCUGAGUUACAACUCGCUGAGCUUGUUUUGAUUCUGUUUCUAUACAAAACGGUGGCUCCCAUCAUGAAAUCAAUAAAGUUUAUUAUUUCACGACG